rnacentral:rRNA from 1 species
ACGGGUGAGUAACGCGUGGAUAACCUGCCUUACACAGGGGGAUAACAGCUGGAAACGGCUGCUAAUACCGCAUAAGCGCACGGUGCUGCAUGGCACAGUGUGAAAAAGAUGAACUUGUUCAUCUGGUGUAAGAUGGAUCCGCGUCUGAUUAGCUAGUUGGUGGGGUAACGGCCUACCAAGGCAACGAUCAGUAGCCGGCUUGAGAGAGUGAACGGCCACAUUGGGACUGAGACACGGCCCAAACUCCUACGGGAGGCAGCAGUGGGGAAUAUUGCACAAUGGGGGAAACCCUGAUGCAGCGACGCCGCGUGAGUGAAGAAGUAUUUCGGUAUGUAAAGCUCUAUCAGCAGGGACGAUAAUGACGGUACCUGACUAAGAAGCCCCGGCUAACUACGUGCCAGCAGCCGCGGUAAUACGUAGGGGGCAAGCGUUAUCCGGAUUUACUGGGUGUAAAGGGAGCGUAGACGGUUAUGUAAGUCAGAUGUGAAAGCCCAGGGCUCAACCCUGGGACUGCAUUUGAAACUAUGUAACUAGAGUGCAGGAGAGGUAAGUGGAAUUCCUAGU